GAUGAACGCUGGCGGCGUGCCUAAUACAUGCAAGUCGAGCGAACAGACGAGGAGCUUGCUCCUCUGACGUUAGCGGCGGACGGGUGAGUAACACGUGGAUAACCUACCUAUAAGACUGGGAUAACUUCGGGAAACCGGAGCUAAUACCGGAUAAUAUAUUGAACCGCAUGGUUCAAUAGUGAAAGACGGUUUUGCUGUCACUUAUAGAUGGAUCCGCGCCGCAUUAGCUAGUUGGUAAGGUAACGGCUUACCAAGGCGAAGAUGCGUAGCCGACCUGAGAGGGUGAUCGGCCACACUGGAACUGAGACACGGUCCAGACUCCUACGGGAGGCAGCAGUAGGGAAUCUUCCGCAAUGGGCGAAAGCUUGACGGAGCAACGCCGCGUGAGUGAUGAAGGUCUUCGGAUCGUAAAACUCUGUUAUUAGGGAAGAACAAAUGUGUAAGUAACUAUGCACGUCUUGACGGUACCUAAUCAGAAAGCCACGGCUAACUACGUG
rnacentral:rRNA from 1 species